rnacentral:rRNA from 1 species
CACGUGAGGAACCUGCCCCGAAGACCGGGAUAACCCUCCGAAAGGAGAGCUAAUACCGGAUACCCCCACCCGAAUCGCAUGAAUCGGUGAGGGAAAUGGAUUCCGCUUCGGGAGGGUCUCGCGGCCUAUCAGCUUGUUGGUGGGGUAACGGCCCACCAAGGCAUCGACGGGUAGCUGGUCUGAGAGGACGAUCAGCCACACUGGGACUGAGACACGGCCCAG